rnacentral:rRNA from 1 species
GACGGAGGAUGCAAGUGUUAUCCGGAAUCACUGGGCGUAAAGCGUCUGUAGGUGGUUUAAUAAGUCAACUGUUAAAUCUUGAGGCUCAACCUCAAAAUCGCAGUCGAAACUAUUAGGCUAGAGUAUAGUAGGGGUAAAGGGAAUUUCCAGUGGAGCGGUGAAAUGCGUAGAGAUCAGGAGGAACACCGGUGGCGAAGGCGGCCCACUGGGCAGUCACUGACGCUGGAGGCGACGAAAGCUCGGGGAGCGAACGGG